AACGAACGCUGGCGGCAGGCUUAACACAUGCAAGUCGAGCGAGAUCUUCGGAUCUAGCGGCGGACGGGUGAGUAACGCGUGGGAACGUGCCCUUUGCUACGGAAUAGUCCCGGGAAACUGGGUUUAAUACCGUAUACGCCCUUUGGGGGAAAGAUUUAUCGGCAAAGGAUCGGCCCGCGUUGGAUUAGGUAGUUGGUGGGGUAAUGGCCUACCAAGCCGACGAUCCAUAGCUGGUUUGAGAGGAUGAUCAGCCACACUGGGACUGAGACACGGCCCAGACUCCUACGGGAGGCAGCAGUGGGGAAUCUUAGACAAUGGGGGCAACCCUGAUCUAGCCAUGCCGCGUGAGUGAUGAAGGCCUUAGGGUUGUAAAGCUCUUUCAGCUGGGAAGAUAAUGACGGUACCAGCAGAAGAAGCCCCGGCUAACUCCGUGCCAGCAGCCGCGGUAAUACGGAGGGGGCUAGCGUUGUUCGGAAUUACUGGGCGUAAAGCGCACGUAGGCGGAUCGGAAAGUUGGGGGUGAAACG
rnacentral:rRNA from 1 species